UGGUGGAGCGAUUUGUCUGGUUAAUUCCGAUAACGAACGAGACUCUAGCCUACUAAAUAGCGCGUGGAUCGCUCUGUCCACGAUGCUUCUUAGAGGGACAAAUGGCGUUCAGCCGUACGAAAUUGAGCAAUAACA
rnacentral:rRNA from 1 species